CCAUUCAUUUACUUUAGUUAGUAAAUAUAUUUUGUUAUUCCGUAUCUCCACGUUGUCUCCUUUUUUUGUUAUGAACUUUGAUCCUGUUCGUGACAAGUGGGGGCUCGUCCGGGAUCAUACGGUUUAUGUUGAGUGGAGGAGCCUGAAGCAAGCGCCAAGAGAGGACAACUUAGAUGGUAGCAGAUGUAUGCAGAUGCUGGGGAGAACUACAAGGCUACUUUGGACUAUUGCCAAAGUGCAGUGAGCUUUCCAGUGUCCCAAUGGCUGCCAGCAAUCACCCAGGUGGGUGCUGCAUGUUGGUGGUGGUUGUGGAGUAGCUGGCUAACUACCGGCUACAGAGACCAUUUGCGCUGCGGACAAAAGUCGUCAUUACUCCAUGUCUGGACAUGUCUGAUCCGCAGAAGCCUUCCUCCCCUUGGCAGUCUCCCCUUGGCUGAUCCUGACCAAAACUCCAGAGGUUUUCAACUGGGUGUGAUCGACCAUGACGCUCCCUCGAUCCUCACAAUCACACGAUUUCCCAUGAUUUAAAUAUUUGUCUAUUUAAAUUAUUAGCUUAUUUAUUUAGAUUGACUGUACACUGCAAUUCAGCUCUUAGCUGCCAAUUUGUACACCUUAAUAAACAAUAAAAUAAACUAAACCCUCAA